GCGGCCCUGAGUCACCGGUUGGAGAUGCGCGACCCCGGCCCGGGCCCGCGCUGCGGAGCCGCCUUUCUGGACUGCGCUCUGAACUGAGCUCUGGAACAGGGUUUAAGAAAAAGAAGGGUUGCCGAGAGAUGACCUCCAGGGUCCCUCCAGCUGUGCCAUUUUGGACUUCCAGUUGUCUCCCUUGUCACAGUGCUCUCAGGCAUGGUCCCCUUCUCUUUAAAGCUGCUGAAGCCAGCACUCAGGUACAGAAAGGAGUCCAGAAAAGUUAAGUGAUUGGUCCAAAGACACACAGCUGAUGACCACAACCAGAACCCAGGUCACCAACCCACUCCUCUGAUCCUCCAACACACUAUACAACUGAGUUUAGGAAAAAGCAAAAUAUAAAGUCCAUAGACUAUACUGCCAUCACCCCCACCAACCAAAUAAAUGUACCUUCUUUAAAACUACCUGUGUCUCAAUCUCCUAUUUCUUUUCAGCCCUGUUAGCUUACUAAGCUCAAAUUUUGGAUUCUUAUCCAGCACUUAAUAGAUACCCUGGUGGUCUGAGUAGUCAGAAUCCCAACUCUGCCCCAGCAUGUUGCAGCCUGAGAAGGGAGAUCUCUGGGAAACAGGAGUAGAAUACAACUAGCCUCUCCAA